AACCCCUAUUGCUAGUUACCAUCAUUAAGUUGGGGACUCUAGCGAGACUGCCAGUGAUAAACUGGAGGAAGUGGGGAUGACGUCAAAUCAUCAUGCCCCUUAUGACCUGGGCUACAAACGUGGUACAAAUGGCUGGAACAAAGGGAUGCGAAGCAGUGAUGUGGAGCGAAACCCAUAAAAACAGUCUCAGUUCGGAUUGAAGUCUGCAACUCGACUUCAUGAAGUCGGAAUCGCUAGUAAUCGCGGAUCAGAACGCCGCGGUGAAUACGUUCUCGGGGUUU
rnacentral:rRNA from 1 species